CAGUUGACAACCUGAAUGACCCCAAGAGCUUAGAACCACUCACACCUAAUCAUCUGAUUACCAUGAAAUCCACCACAGCCCUACCUCCACCAGGAAAGUUCAUAAGAGAGGAUGUGUAUAUGAGGAAGAGAUGGAGGCGUGUGCAGUAUCUUACUGAACAGUUUUGGAGCAGAUGGAAAAAAGAGUAUCUCCACAACAUCGCUGCUCGACAAUGCUGGCAUGCUCCAAAAAGGAACUUUCAAAUUGGUGACAUAGUCAUGGAUAUUGAUGAAACCUUACCAAGGAGUGAAUGGAGGCUUGGAAGGAUUACUGAGACUGUUCUGAGUUCAGAUGGACUGGUAAGAAAGGCCAAAAUAGCACUUGGUGACAAAAGACUAAACAAGAAAGGAGAACGAGUUCAUAAAACCUCAAUAAUAGAAAGGCCAGCUCAGAAGUUGGUCUUAUUAUUGGAAGCGGAGUGAAUGCAUCUUCAAAAGGACUUUAUUGCACUUGAUGCACACAAGAGUUAUAAGUGAAAUUAGUCAUGUUUGAGAAACAUUGAUAAUUUGGUGGGAGUGUAACAGGCUUUAAUAAGAGUUAAUUUUAAUUUAUUUUGUUUGGUGUUGCCUUUGUAAUAUUUAAUGUUUAAUGACCAAAUUAUUUUCGUUGUUUAUGGGGGACUUUUAUUUUGAAACAAAAUCAGCUUUUCACAACGCACGACGCUAAAGAGAAAAGGGGAAUGGGAGAGUGAACGCUUCAUGACGGCUUAAAACUCGUUCACGAAAGAGAUGUAACAAGUUUAUUUAGCAACCCCCCGAAAAGGCAUAAGCUCUUACGGUGAUUUCUGAAGACGAAAGGGAACAGAAAUAAAAGUCUGGAAACAUCA